AAGGAUAAAAUGGGAACCUCCCCCCAUGGGAGUGGGAAUCCCACUCCCCACUCCAAAAUUGAGUGGGACCCACGAAUUCCCACUCCCACUCCCCUUUUUUUAAGAUAAGUAAACACUGAAAUGGGAGGAAUACACACUCUACACUUCCACUCCAUAAAGCAAACACUGCCAUAAUAGAGUGGAGUGAAUUUAAGCCAUUUAACGGAAACAGGGUCCGGAUGCAUUUUUAUAUUAUUUCUCUAUAUGAUUGAAAUUGGAAUACUUAUUUUUCACUGGGGAAUAUUCCGUUUCAAAAGUAGUUUCAGGUUCUUUUUUAAAAUCUGUUGAGAGUAGAUGAAAGGAAAUUCGGUCAUCCUGUCCACCAACUUGCUCAAACAAAUUGCUAACGAAAAAGUUAAAACCAGCUGUCGGUAGAGGAAAACUGUCAUUAUAUUUAAACCUUGUCGGCCAUUCGAGAUUUAAAAAAGAAAAAAAAAAUUAUCAUCUUGUCAUUAUAUAGUAAUGGGUCCAGGAAGUGAAAGAAAAAGAUAAUUGAUAAGAAGAAUAAUUUUAUAUAAACUUGUCUCUCUGGUAAUUACUUGGUAAAGUUCCAAAAAUUGAACAAUUUUAAGGCUUGUCAUCUUGACAUAAUUGAUGAAAUUUAAAACAUAUAAAUAUGUUAGACGAUGACAAACACAUAUUUCACCUCAAAGCUGACGUCUCUUUAUUAAAAUACUUGUGGAAAUUUCGGGAAAGCAGCCUAUAUCAAUGCAAUUAUUGGACUCUUUGAAAAUCCAUCCGGGGUGAAUGAUUCAUCUGCAAUCCAUUGAAAACUCACUCCCCAUAAAAAAUGUUAUGGGUAAUAAUGGUUGUCUAGCUAUUUUAUGUUUACUAUUUAUCAAUAAGAUACAAGAAGUUUCAUAAGGUAUCACUGAAUUACCAACAAAAUUUUAAAGGUAUCAUUUAAUUAUAUUUCCGUUGAUAAGUAUAUUGCAAUAAUAUAGUUUGAAAAAGCUAGUAUAUAUAUAAUAGUAAUGCUGUACAAACACAAACGCACUCACAAACAACGCUAAUUUGGAGCAUUAUUUAUUUAUUAAGCGCUUGACAACAAUUCUUACUAAGCAUACCAAAGCAAUCGUUAUCUCGGGUAAAAUCUCUCGUUGUUAUGGAUAUUUAGCAGCACUCUAAGUGGUCACAAGCCAUCCCUGGCAAGUGCCAACAUCGGAUAAGAAGGAGCAUUGCGACGCCAAUGUUGACUAAUGAGCACGAGUCUAUAGUGAACGACAAUAUGGUCAAAAAGCUAACGAGAAAAGUAGACUAAAAUAGGUCUCUUGUCCCGUCCUUGCAACUUCUUGUCUUGUUACUUUUACUUGGUGAUUCAUGCUAAAAAAACAUUAUAACAGCAAUAAUAAAAAGAAAAAAAAAAGUGGGUACAAUGCCUAAAUUAAUCUAGAAAUCCAAAUUAAAUAGUCAGUCAAAUAAAAUUACUUAAAAAUCACCCUACAAGCUCUUAAUGGUGACAAUCACCACCUCUUUAAAUAAAUUAAUGUGACAUAAAAAUAUUAAUUGGAUAAUAUCAUUACAUGAUUUAUAUAAUUAUUAGUCUUUUAGAGUCCAGCUAUGUUGUAACCGUUCUAAAGUAGAGCAUCCCUUCAUAAUCAUAUGACCAAAGUUAUAAUGAAUUUUUUACUAUUUAUCAUUUUGCAUGUGUGACUGAGAUUCGUGCUCCACCAUAGUCAUAGCCUUAUAAUAUAUAUAUUUUUUAAAUCAAUAUAUAGCUUCAUGUCAUAUCAAUUUGUACAAAUAAUUUGUAGCUCUAUCAUUGCAUGAGAAUUUUUCGUAAUUUUAUUGAAAGUUUAUGCAAAACUAUUAAAGAUAUACCUCUAUCUAUGUUCUAGACAAAAUCAACAAAAAUAAAAAAAUUUUAAAAAAAUAAAAAUAGAAGACUUGCUAAACUGGUCCUACCACAUUUGACGUUAUGACCUCUCAAUGUACAUGUACAUGUAAACAGCGUCUUCGAAGCUAGGAUAGGGUCUUUUCCUACCGUUUUAUAUAUUUCUUUCGUUUCUUUUCUGCUCUCUCUAAUCAUGGAUGAGUGGAGACUAAAGGAAACACUAUAUAUAGUGAUCAUAAAGUUAAUUAAUUUGAAAAGUAUAAGAUAAAAAUAGAUUAAAGGAAUCACUGCCAGAUCGCCUACACAAACUUAGCCAUACUACAAAGGUUGCCCACAAUUGGUGCAUGUUUCCAAAAUUAUUUUUAAAUCACACGGCUUUAUAGAGUAUUGAAAAUUAAUUCUAUUGAGCCGUACGACUUAACAAUGUGUUCGUAUUAAAAAAAAU
rnacentral:lncRNA from 1 species